rnacentral:rRNA from 1 species
CGGAGCUUGCUCCGCGGAUCAGUGGCGAACGGGUGAGUAACACGUGAGCAACCUACCCCUGACUCUGGGAUAACAGUUGGAAACAGCUGCUAAUACCGGAUACGACCUCAGCAGGCAUCUGCCGAGGUGGAAAGCUCCGACGGUCAGGGAUGGGCUCGCGGCCUAUCAGCUUGUUGGUGAGGUAACGGCUCACCAAGGCGACGACGGGUAGCCGGCCUGAGAGGGCGACCGGCCACACUGGGACUGAGAUACGGCCCAGACUCCUACGGGAGGCAGCAGUGGGGAAUAUUGCACAAUGGGCGCAAGCCUGAUGCAGCAACGCCGCGUGCGGGAUGACGGCCUUCGGGUUGUAAACCGCUUUCAGCAGGGACGAAGCUAACGUGACGGUACCUGCAGAAGAAGCACCGGCUAACUACGUGCCAGCAGCCGCGGUGAUACGUAGGGUGCGAGCGUUGUCCGGAUUUAUUGGGCGUAAAGAGCUUGUAGGCGGUUUGUUGCGUCGGAAGUGAAAACUCAGAGCUUAACUCUGAGCCUGCUUUCGAUACGGGCAGACUUGAGGGAUGUAGGGGAUAACGGAAUUCCUGGUGGAGCGGUGGAAUGCGCAGAUAUCAGGAGGAACACCAGUGGCGAAGGUGGUUCUCUGGACAUUUCCUGACGCUGAGAAGCGAAAGCGUGUGGAGCAAACAGGCUUAGAUACCCUGGUAGUCCACGCCGUAAACGGUGGGCACUAGGUGUGGGACCCUUCCACGGGUUCCGUGCCGUAGCUAACGCAUUAAGUGCCCCGCCUGGGGAGUACGGCCGCAAGGCUAAAACUCAAAGGAAUUGACGGGGGCCCGCACAAGCGGCGGAGCAUGCGGAUUAAUUCGAUGCAACGCGAAGAACCUUACCUGGGUUUGACAUAUACCGGAAACAUCUGGAGACAGGUGCCCCGCAAGGUCGGUAUACAGGUGGUGCAUGGCUGUCGUCAGCUCGUGUCGUGAGAUGUUGGGUUAAGUCCCGCAACGAGCGCAACCCUCGUUCUAUGUUGCCAGCGGAUAAUGCCGGGAACUCAUAGAAGACUGCCGGGGUCAACUCGGAGGAAGGUGGGGAUGACGUCAAGUCAUCAUGCCCCUUAUGUCCAGGGCUUCACGCAUGCUACAAUGGCUGGUACAAAGGGCUGCGAUAUCGCAAGAUGGAGCGAAUCCCAUAAAGCCAGUCUCAGUUCGGAUUGGGGUCUGCAACUCGACCCCAUGAAGUCGGAGUCGCUAGUAAUCGCAGAUCAGCAACGCUGCGGUGAAUACGUUCCCGGGCCUUGUACACACCGCCCGUCAAGUCAUGA